rnacentral:misc_RNA from 1 species
GUCCAUUCCUGAUUGGUUUAUUGUGCCAUAGAGUGCCUAUGAUUUAUGCUUUUUUCCCAGUUGGAAUAUGUUGAUGGCACUGGAUGAUGAGGUCGAAGAGAGAAAAGACAAACCUGUCAAGAACCGCUAGCAAGAAGACAGGAAUGUUCAUGCAUUUAACCAAGAAAAUAUAUUGUCAAUACUUUUCCCAGUGAUCAUGGAUCAACGGAUCAUGUGCUAGUCAUGUUAUCUAAGAAGAAAAC